GAAAUGCGAUAAGUAAUGUGAAUUGCAGAAUUCAGUGAAUCAUCGAAUCUUUGAACGCAGAUUGCGCCUUUUGGUAUUCCGAAAGGCAUGCCUGUUUGAGUGUCUUAUAAACCUCACCUCUACUGUUUUUCAUUAGACAUGUAGAUUGGUGCUUUGGGUGUUGCCGUUUACUCUGGCUCGCCUUAAAUGUCUAAGUGGAAUGCGUAAUAAGUUCUUUCGCAACCCUCCACUCUAAUAACACACUUUAUACUCUGACCUCAAAUCAGGUAGGACUACCCGCUGAACUUAA
rnacentral:misc_RNA from 1 species